rnacentral:rRNA from 1 species
CAGCACCUCAAGUGGUCAGGAUGAUUAUUGGGCCUAAAGCAUCCGUAGCCGGCGCUGUAAGUUUUCGGUUAAAUCUGUACGCUCAACGUACAGGCUGCCGGGAAUACUGCAGCGCUAGGGAGUGGGAGAGGUAGACGGUACUCGGUAGGAAGGGGUAAAAUCCUUUGGUCUAUUGAUGACCACCUGUGGCGAAGGCGGUCUACCAGAACGCGUCCGACGGUGAGGGAUGAAAGCUGGGGGAGCAAACCGGAUUAGAGACCCGAGUAGUCC